GAUGAAGAACGUAGCGAAAUGCGAUACUUGGUGUGAAUUGCAGAAUCCCGUGAACCAUCGAGUCUUUGAACGCAAGUUGCGCCCGAAGCCAUCAGGUUGAGGGCACGUCUGCCUGGGCGUCACAUAUCGUUGCCCAAUGCCUAUUGCAGUGCAAUAGGAAUUUCUAGGGCGAAUGAUGGCUUCCCGUGAGCGUUGUUGCCUCGCGGUUGGUUGAAAAUCGAGUCCUUGGUAGGGUGUGCCAUGGUAGAUGGUGGUCGAGUUAGAACGAUACCGAUCAUGUGCAUGCUCCCCAAAAUAUGGCCUCUAUGACCCACACGCGUCUUUUGACGCUCAUGACGAGACCUCAGGUCGGGCGGGGCUACCCGCUGAAUUUAAGCAUAUCAAUAAGCGGAGGA
rnacentral:misc_RNA from 1 species